AUUUUGCAGAAAGGGGACUGAAGAACUUCCUCUUUAAAACAGCCUUCAAAGGAACUGAAAUAUUACAAAAAUCAGAGACCAAAUUCACAGCUGGCACGAGUGGGCACCUCCCAGUUUGAGGAGUUCAAGUUCUUUCUCUUCAAAGUGGUUGCCACAUCAGCAGUAACUAUAUGAUAAACCGAGAGGCCACAAUCAACAUUUGCAGCCAUCAUACAGCAUCAGACAGACAGUCAGUCCCCUUUUAUGCCUCCUCUGCUAUUGUUCUACACUGUCAGCAUCUACCUUCUUAGUCAUCAGGACUUGUGGCCCAAACUGAUUUGCUAAGGGCUUGAUCUGUGGUUUCUCCACUGAACAUCAAGGAGAGACUUACACUGUGUUCAGUAGGCUGCAAGUCAGACCCUGAGACACCAUCAGAAACCUCCAUCAGAGUGAUGGUGAUUAGAAAAUCAGCUAAGGAGAGCAAAGUUUCCCCUCAGCCCCAUCUGAGACAUCAAGAACAAUGAUUCCAGAUGUAAGCAAAAAGUUUUCCAUCACAGCACAUCACAGGACCUGCAGGCGUGCCUCGAAAUGAAGAUUGCAAAUGACGUGGGUGCUGUGAGCCUGAUGAACACCUUGAGAGCUGACAGAUGACAAUCUUAAAAGACUGAUAAAAGUAAACUGUGGACCUUUUCCCUUGGCUCGAGGUGGGGACAAAGACAUCUGCAGCCUUUGCCUGGAUCGUUCGGGUCAAGAGUGAACAGGAGAGGGCAGCAUCGCUUUAGACUUACGAUGCAAGGCAUGGCCUUAACAUCCCACAGAAGUGCACACUACAGGGAAAGCAAAGGAGUGCGAGAGUUGACAGGUGAGGAUUCUGGGAGAACAAGAGCAUGGAGCACUCUCAGUGUUCUGCCCACUGUGACUCUUAGCACACUCCCAGCAAACCCACCUGGGGCGAACCCUGUGCCUCCCACUGAGCACAGGAAGGACAAUGUUUUGUGCUACAGUGCCAGCAUGCCCAAGAGGAAGCACUGUGGGAUGGGCAUUUCAAUCCCUGCUGUAUUCCUGAAUGGGAUGCACUGAGGCUAAGGAAAUGGAUGGGGUGAAAUCUUGUCCUAAUUAUGUUAAUAGGAGUAUUGUAAUUGUCUUCAGUGGAGCUAGGCUUUCUCUGCGUGGAACCUGACAGAAAAUCCCAAUACCCACUUGUGUUUCCCUAUUUCAGGAUGAAAAUUAGGUACAGCACAUAUUUCACUCACUGGUGUACAGCUAUCACCAUGGAAACCCUGUUCAAUAGAGUGUGAAAACUUUUACAGGACUUGCUGGGUUCAUAAAGUGUUGAGCACCAUCUUCCCCCCAUUAAUUUUAUUACAGGUACUAUCAUUCAAAAAUUAGGCAAUCUAAGUGUGUACAAAUAGCUGUAAUUAUACACCCAGCUGCCAUGAGUGUCUCUAAAACAAAUCCUGUACUGUAUUUCUCAAUUUAAUUUCACUCUUCAAGCAUACCAUGAUGACAUAACAAGAACUUCUGUAUUUUUCCAAGCAUAUAUUAAUUGUAUUUUCCACUGUAACAUUCUAGGAGUAGAUAUUGCUCCAUUUUGCAAAUGGGGAAACCAGAGUACACAGGAGUCACAGAUCUUGUCAAAACCAUGCAGCCAAGCCCUGGCAGAUUCAGGAAUGGAAUCCGUGAGUCCUGACUCUUUAGUUCCCCUGCUCUGAUCACCAGACAACACUCCCUUCCUCUGAAAUAGGCUAUUUUGAUUGAAAACAGAUGGUGUACAUUUUUGGCACAGUGUUUUUUAAGUAUAUUAAAAUGCUCUGAAUGAGUAUGUGCUUAUAUCAUACCUACAUCUGUAUACAUGUAUAUACAUGCAUACUGCAUCUAUGCAUACAGAAAUAGGUAUGAGUUAAGGACAUAUUAAUUUACAUAUAUCAUAUGCAAAUGUAAUGGAUAUACUGAAAGAUACUUAAGUGCAGCUGGACAGCUGACAUACCUAAACACAUAAGCUGUAAUCUUCAGUGAUAUUGUAAUUACACACUACAUAUUCUCUCUCUCUAAGCAACAGACUUUAUGCUCUUGAUGGAGUGUCCACUUUGAUGCAAUUCAUGCAUUAAAGUUUUUUAUCAUUUGAUGAAAAAUUUUAGUGAUGUUUCUGUAAGGGAUUAAUUAUAUCAAUUUUCAUUAGCUACAGGACCAACCUCCAUCCUAGCUGAACAAUGCCUUUAGUGGGCACUGCCUGCAUUUGUAGUGUUGUGAAUUUUUCCUGCAACUGAGCUAUGUCUUAAAUAUCAUACUUAUCUUUUGGAUUUGCUCUUUCUGCCAUAGUGUUUGCCCUUGAAUUAAGUCUUCUCUAAACAGUUUGUUUUCAGCUAAGGACUGGCAAACCCUGGAUUUGCUGUCUGUCAGGAUUAAGAUUUUCCCACACAUCCUACCCUGGAGGAGAUAACAAGGAACAGUUUUUACUUAACCAAUUCCUCACCUGCAGCCUUGGGUCAGGUAAAGAUGGGCUGCUGUAUCAGUGGGCAAACAGCUCAGGAGACCUUUUCCAUGGUUGGAAAUCAGCAGAAUGGGCUUGUAUUGCUUGUUCUCCUGUGGAUUCCCAGUAAAUAUGAGAAGGUGGGCUUCAAAAGCCACUCACAUGGGAUACAUCCUAGUUACAACCCUCUUUCCAAAGUCCCUCCCCAUUGACUGUAUUUCCAUUUCUUAUAUUGGUUGACUGGAUUUCCCCCCUCACUUUCCACAAAAGAGGUAAAAAAUUUAGCCUUCAAAUCCACAGUCAUGCAGGGGGAGUUGGAAACAGCUCAUUCCCAUGGGUACUCUUUGUCUGCAUAUUGGCCCCAGUCACCUCACACCUUAUAUGCACAGAAAGUGAGUCAAAAUCAGGGGUGAGAUUAGAAUUUGGGAAUUGUGUCAUUGCAGAAAGGGGACCUGAGCAAAAACAGUUAUUUUUGUCUGUGCUAAUUCCUUCUGGACUGACCUGUGAGUGUAUAACAGAAAAAGGAAAUAUUGCUGAUACUCACUGCUCUUCUGUCUUUUUUGGUUCUAAAUCUGCAGAACUCAGGAAUCAGGAAAUGCCUGCAAAAAGGUUUUGAGGAGGUCACAGAAGCAAAAGUAUGCUGCAGUGCUGCUUUAUCUACAGAUAAACAAAAUAUGGCUACUUACUAUAAUGAAAAAAGAGCUUAAUCUCUUUCAGAACUGUAGAUCAAAAUCCACAAAAAGUAGAACCGGUGUUUUCUGGUUUCAUACUCAAUGCUGUAAUGCAGUACUAAAAUCUCCACAAUUGUAUUUAUAAUAUCAGGUAGCAUCAGGUAGCAGUUGUCAAUGGAGAGUACCCUACCUCAGUUCUUGACUUACACAGAAUGGAUUAGCAUGUUUGUAUUUUCCUGCCUGUUUGUUAUGCUACAAAACUAAUAUUCUGGCACAAUCCAUUCUUAGUAAAGAUUUUUUUAAUGCUGGCUUCCUUUGUAUCAAAAGGUACAGUUAACUCAGGAUAGUUCUCUUGCAAUUCAAUACACUAAGCUAUUUUGCUCUAACUUUGCAAAACUAAAUAUAAAUUUCCAAGUAGAAAAAAGUGUUAAAAGGGAAGUCUGUUCUUGCAAACUAUUAUGUGGUAACCAGGCCUCUCCCAUAUCAAUAAAAAGCUCUCCACAGUGACACUCUUGCCCUUUCUCUAGUCAUUUUCUGCCAGGUAGGAAUCAGAGAAAUGCAAAACAGCCUUAAAAGCUCCAUAUCUGAUCAGAAGAAACUCUCCCAGUGCAGGUCAGGCACUGACUGACAAAGAUGUUGUUCCAUUUCCCUUUUAAUAAGCCAUUCCAAAGAGGUCUGAGUUAAUUUUUCAGGCUGCUGUAUGGCAUGAAUGCCAGUGCUGCCAGGAUGAUGAGGCUGUUUGAAGGCAACACAGCUUGAGCUGCUCUGAAAUGCUGGUUGCAUGCAGUG